CCUACGGGUGGCAGCAGUGAGGAAUAUUGGUCAAUGGCCGGAAGGCUGAACCAGCCAUGCCGCGUGAAGGUCAGUGCCCUAUGGGCGUUAAACUUCUUUUGUGCGGGAGCAAUAAUGGUCACGUGUGGCCAGACGAGAGUACCGUACGAAUAAGCAUCGGCUAACUCCGUGCCAGCAGCCGCGGUAAUACGGGGGAUGCAAGCGUUAUCCGGAUUUAUUGGGUUUAAAGGGUGUGUAGGCGGUGUAGCAAGUUAGAAGUGAAAUACCUAGAGCUUAACUCAGGUGCUGCUUCUAAAACUGCUAUACUUGAGUGCAGUAGAGGAAAGUGGAAUUCCUAGUGUAGCGGUGGAAUGCGUAGAUAUUAGGAGGAACAUCAGUGGCGAAGGCGACUUUCUGGACUGUAACUGACGCUGAGGCACGAAAGUGUGGGGAGCAAACAGGAUUAGAUACCCUGGUAGUC
rnacentral:rRNA from 1 species